rnacentral:rRNA from 1 species
GCUUGCUUCCCGCUGACGAGCGGCGGACGGGUGAGUAAUGUAUGGGGAUCUGCCCGAUAGAGGGGGAUAACUACUGGAAACGGUGGCUAAUACCGCAUAAUCUCUUAGGAGCAAAGCAGGGGACCUUUUGGCCUUGCGCUGUCGGAUGAACCCAUAUGGGAUUAGCUAGUAGGUAAGGUAAUGGCUUACCUAGGCGACGAUCCCUAGCUGGUCUGAGAGGAUGAUCAGCCACACUGGGACUGAGACACGGCCCAGA